rnacentral:rRNA from 1 species
CUAGCCGUAAACGAUGGAUACUAGGUGUGGGUGUCGCAGGGCAUCCGUGCCGCAGCUAACGCGUUAAGUAUCCCGCCUGGGGACUACGGUCGCAAGACUGAAACUCAAAGGAAUUGACGGGGGCCCGCACAAGCGGUGGAGCACGUGGUUUAAUUCGAUGCAAACCGAAGAACCUUACCUGGGCUUGACAUGCAGAUAGUAGAGAAGUGAAAGCGGACCGACCUUGCAGUAAUGUAAGGAGUCUGCACAGGUGC